AAGCGGUGGAUGAUGUGAUUUAAUUCGAUGCAACGCGAAAACCUUACCCACCUUUGACAUGUACGGAAGCCUUUAGAGAUAGAGGCGUGCUCGAAAGAGAGCCGUAACACAGGUGCUGCAUGGCUGUCGUCAGCUCGUGUCGUGAGAUGUUGGGUUAAGUCCCGCAACGAGCGCAACCCUUGUCAUUAGUUGCUACAUUCAGUUGGGCACUCUAAUGAGACUGCCGGUGACAAGCCGGAGGAAGGUGGGGAUGACGUCAAGUCCUCAUGGCCCUUAUAGGUGGGGCUACACACGUCAUACAAUGGCUGGUACAAAGGGUUGCCAACCCGCGAGGGGGAGCUAAUCCCAUAAAGCCAGUCGUAGUCCGGAUCGUAGUCUGCAACUCGACUACGUGAAGUCGGAAUCGCUAGUAAUCGUGGAUCAGAAUGUCACGGUGAAUACGUUCCCGGGUCUU
rnacentral:rRNA from 1 species